GUGGGGAAUUUUGGACAAUGGGCGAAAGCCUGAUCCAGCCAUGCCGCGUGCAGGAUGAAGGCCUUCGGGUUGUAAACUGCUUUUGUACGGAACGGAAAGACUCCUUCUAAUAAAGGGGGUCCAUGACGGUACCGUAAGAAUAAGCACCGGCUAACUACGUGCCAGCAGCCGCGGUAAUACGUAGGGUGCAAGCGUUAAUCGGAAUUACUGGGCGUAAAGCGUGCGCAGGCGGUUAUAUAAGACAGAUGUGAAAUCCCCGGGCUCAACCUGGGAACUGCAUUUGUGACUGUAUAGCUAGAGUACGGUAGAGGGGGAUGGAAUUCCGCGUGUAGCAGUGAAAUGCGUAGAUAUGCGGAGGAACACCGAUGGCGAAGGCAAUCCCCUGGACCUGUACUGACGCUCAUGCACGAAAGCGUGGGGAGCAAACAGGAUUAGAUACCCUUGUAGUCC
rnacentral:rRNA from 1 species